AGUUUGAUCCUGGCUCAGGAUGAACGCUGGCGGCGUGCUUAACACAUGCAAGUCGAACGGGGGUGCAAACCCUAGUGGCGGACGGGUGAGUAACGCGUGAGAACCUGUCUCGAGGUGGGGGACAACAGUUGGAAACGACUGCUAAUACCCCAUAUGCCGAGAGGUGAAAGAUUUAUCGCCUUGAGGGGGGCUCGCGUCCGAUUAGCUCGUUGGUGGGGUAACGGCCUACCAAGGCGACGAUCGGUAGCUGGUUUGAGAGGACGACCAGCCACACUGGGACUGAGACACGGCCCAGACUCCUACGGGAGGCAGCAGUGGGGAAUUUUCCGCAAUGGGCGCAAGCUGACGGAGCAACGCCGCGUGUGGGAUGAAGGCUGUGGGUUGUAACCACUUUUCUCAGGGACGAAGCUCUGACGGUACCUGAGGAAUCAGCUCGGCUAACUCUGUGCCAGCAGCCGCGGUAAGACAGAGGAGGCAAGCGUUAUCCGGAAUUAUUGGGCGUAAAGCGUCCGUAGGUGGGUUUGACAAGUCUGGGGUUAAAGCCCGGAGCCCAACUCCGGAUCGGCCCUGGAAACUGUCAGACUUGAGUAAGGUAGGGGUUCUGGGAUUCCCGGUGUAGCGGUGAAAUGGGUAGAUAUCGGGAGGACACCAGGCGCGA
rnacentral:rRNA from 1 species